ensembl:lncRNA
CAUAGGAAGGCAUUUGCGGAAGGCACUCAUUCACGUACCAUCUAUAUAUGUAUAUUUUUAUACACACAUAGAUAGGCACAUGCACACUUGAGUUAUAACAGAUCUGUGGGAAAUACUGAACAAAAAAUAGAUGUUCAAAGCAUGUAUUUCUAAAUUGCUAUAUUAGCGUUAUACACAGAAGACAAUAGAAACGUCAUACUAAAAAUAUAUCAAUAUGAAGACUGUGUCCUGGAUGCUGAUCAUGAAAUUCCAGUGAAUGUUCAUCCUGCGUUGCUGAAGUAGCGUACAGUUAAGAUACCAGUGAUUCUGACAGUAUUUGACUUGCACCAGGAAAAGAAACAAGCAAUGUCACAGACAGCUGAAGAGAUUUUUUUUAGAAAAUAUAUGGUUGCUGGAGGCCACGAUUCUGGUGAGAUGAUUAAUGGUUAGUGAGACCUGCAUCCCAUGGAAGAAGAGACAAAUCUCUCUCUGUGAGGCCAGCAGAAGGAAUGAGGCAAUUGAGGACCUGGAGGCUGCAGUUCAGAACAUCAUUUCCUUGAACUGAAUCAUUGAGUCUGGAGGGAAGGAAAUGAAAGGCUUCCCUCUUUGCCAUAAUUUGGAAGAAAGAUUUGGAUUUCCCAUGCCAUCACUACCUUCUGUUUUUAAUAGCAAAAAGUGGCUCUUCAAAGAAAAGGAUUUGCCUUUUCUUUUUAAAAGAUGUAAAAGUCCUACAGUGUUGCUAACUCAUAGGCACCACAGACCUGUUUCCAAAAGAAGUUUCUAUGUGAGACACUGCUCUUCCGGACAGCAUAAGAGCUGGACUGUGUGGGAAGGAGACAUACAGUAAUUAUCAAUAAUUUAUGAAUGUGUAUGUUUGGCCCCAUAUGCAGAGUGUGCUCCUGCACCAUUUGAACUGCCAACUGAUGCUGAAUGGAAGCAACUUAUGUGGAGGAGAUAUGUAUAAUUUCCUGAAGGAAACAGAACAUCCAAAUAUUUGUCUUGGUUAAUAAGAGAAGACAGAGGAAUAAUGAAGAGGGUUUUCACAAAGUGAUAUGCUGGGAAGAUGAGAGUAAUGCAUUUUUUCUCUAUGGCGGCAGAGGGGCAGUCUGGCAAAAUGGCGUCUGAUAUGGAAGUGUGUAUGGAACAAAGGCACCUCACUGAAUUCCUCUGUGGAAAAAAUGGCACCCAUUGACAUCCAUUGAUGUUUGCUGAACGUUGAUGGAGACCAAAUAGUGGAUAUGAGCUCAGAGAGGCAGUGGGUGGGUGGUGAGUUUCAACACUGGUGACAGCAACAGUGGGUCACCUCCGCUGGCACAGAUUUUUACAAGCGCGACAUGCGUGCUCAUCUUCAUCUCGGGUGAAAAUGCAUAAAAUAGUGUUAUUGUCUUUUUGGUAUGUGUGGUAGUUUGCAUGUAAAUAAAUGGGAGGCAUUAUUUUCAGAGCAGCCUGAAACUUCAGGAAAUUUUAGUAACAAGUAAUUAUGAAAUAAAAGAAUGCUACUCACAUGAACAUGGUAGAGGUAAGAGAAAACUGGUAAUCACUGAGGAGGGAAAUAUAGAAUAUAAAAAUCUUUGGCAUUAUGUCUUUGGCUUGUUUGGCUACUUGGUAUUAGAGGUUUCAGCACAUUAGCUUUUAUAGAACAAAUACAUUCUGUGAAGGGAUCUGUUCCAUUAAAAGGCUCCUAUUAUGAACUGACCUGCUACAGUCAUACAGAUGCAGUCUUUCACAUUAUCCUGAACUGAAUAAAUAUCAAUCAUUUUCUUUACUUUGAAAAAUCACAGUUAUUCCUCUAUUUUAACAGUCCCCUUACUUUCCUGUACUGCAAGUCAUUUUUAGUUAUUCUGAUGAGUCAUAGCCAGCAUAUUAUUCUGCAGCAUUUCACUCCAUUUUCUUUUUUGCUAAAACUUUGCCUACAGUAACUUUGGCCCCGUUAGUCCUUGAUUUGUCCCAUCCAACACUCAAGCUUAUAACUGACAUAGGAAAUUAAUAACUUUAGGCUUCCUGAAUAUGUUAUAGGCACCUUGAAAAUGUAAAUUCAUGCUGCUGCACCCCAGUGCUGCAUAUUCCCAGUUCAGUGAGUACUGAAAAAAGCUUCAAGUGAUAGCUCAGAUAGAGGUACCUCAAGAGGGAUUAAUUCAGAUCCUGAUUUCUUUAAAUCAGUACUUUUAAAAAUAAACUAACUUUCAUACAGAUGCAUACAGAAAAUUUACCAGUGCAACUGGUAAAUACCAGGCAGAUUUGAGGUUCAUUAUCAUAGAAUCAUAGAAUCAUAGAAUGGUUGAAGAGGACCAUAAUGAUCAUCUAGUUUCAACCCCCCUUGCUAUGGGCAGGGUUGCCAACCACUAGACCAGGCUGCCCAGAGCCACAUCCAGCCUGGCAUUGAAUGCCUCCAGGGAUGGGGCAUCCACAACCUCCUUGGGCAACCUGUUCCAGUGCAUCACCACCCCCUGGGUGAAAAACUUCCUCCUAAAAUCUAACCUAAACCUCCCCUGUCUUUGUUUAAAACCAUUCCCCUUGUCCUAUAGCUAUCCACCCUCGUAAACAGCUGUUCCCCCUCCUGUUGAUAUGCUCCCUUCAAGUACUGGAAGUCCACAACGAGGUCCCCCCAGAGCCUUCUCUUCUCCAAGCUAAACACGCCCAGUUCCCUCAGCCUUUCUUGAGAGGUGCUCUAGCCCUCUGAUCAUCUUAGUGGCCCUCCUCUGUACCCACUCCAAUUGCUCCACAUCCUUCCUGUACUGGGGGCCCCAGGCCUGGACACAGUACUCCAGAUGGGGCCUCCCAAGAGCCGAGUAGAAGGGGACAAUCACCUCCCUCUCCCUGCUGGCUACACCUUUUUUAAUGCCCAGAACACAUUUGGCCUUCCGGGCUGCAAGCGCACUGCUGGCUCAUGUCCAGCUUCUCAUCCACCAGGACCCCCAAGUCCUUCUCCACAGGGCUGCUUCCAAGGGUUUCUUCACACAAUCUGUAUAAACACCUGCAGCACUCAACCCAAGUGCAGCACCGUGCACUUGGCCUUAUUGAACCUCAUUAGAUUUUCAUGGGCCCACUUCUCCAGCCUCUCCAGGUCCCCCUGGAUGGCUUCCCUUCCUUCCAACGUAUCGACUGCACCAUUCAGCUUGGUGUCAUCUGCAAACUUGCUGAGGGUGCACUCGAUGCCAUCCAUCGUCUGUGUCACUGAUGAAGAUGUUGAAGAGCACUGGUCCCAAGACCGACCCCUGAGGGACACCACUUGUGAGUGGCCUUCACCCUGACACAGAACCAUUGAUCACAGCUCUUUGGCUGUGUCCAGCCAGCCAGUUCCUAACCCAUCGAACAGUCCAUCUUUCAAAUCCUCACCUCUCCAAUUUAGAGAGAAUGUGGUAAGGGACUAUGUCUGGGAAGAUUACAUCUGUUGCCCUUCCCCUAUCCACCGAAGCCGUCAUUCCAUCAUAGAAGGCCACCAGAUUGGUCAGGCAGGAUCUGCCCUUGUUGAAGCCAUGCUGGCUGUCUCAGAUCACCUCCUUGUGUCGCAUGUGCCAUAACAUAGCUUCUAGGAGGAUCUGCUCCAUGGUCUUCCCAGGUCUCACAGAGGUGAGACUCACCAGCUUGUAGUUCCCUGGGUCUUCCUUUAAUGGCAUAAUGGCAUUGGUGACCUUUAAAUCUAUGCACCCACAGUUUAAGAUACAGGGCUGAGGGAAAGCAUCUACUAUUAGUCUGGCUAUAAAUCUUUUACUAAGUGAAAAGACUAUUACAUCUAUAUCAAUGUGCUCUACAGCCCUGUAGUGAAAAAUCAUGAAAAUGAGUAUAUUGCUGAAAUAUAUAAUAGUGGACUGUAAAAUGAAGCAAAGUUUUAAUGACCAGUUUGCAAUGUUCCAUGUAGUGUACAAUUCACAACAAGAUUGAUCACAGUUGCCUUUCUUGAGAUAAAUAUUUGUUCCAAAAGUUUGCUUUCCUUUUCUAUAUAAUUGUUUUGGGGUUUUUUGUUUGUUUGUUUGUUUGUUUUUGUUUUGUUUUGUUUUUUUUUCCUAUGGAAGAUAAUUUUCUGAUAACUAACAACUGAUGUUCAGUUUGUACCAGUGUUCUUUCUUUGCUACUCUGUAAACGAGCUCACAAUCUUACAGCUGCUGAGGUUGUUGCAAAAAGUCUUGGUUUCUUCAUCAAAGUAUUUUUUUUACAUAUAAAAUGGAUGGAACAUUUUCUGAACCUUCAGUAUUUCCCUUGUCCCUUCUUUUGUUCUUGUUUGUUUGUUCUUAUUCAGUCUCAUCAUCUUCUGGCAUUGUUCUUGACUAAUUGUAACGGACUGAUUGCUAACAUGUGUUGUCAAUGGAUUGUUUGCUGGCAUAUCUGACAAUAUUACCAUCUACUUCAGCCGUUUAUAAAUUUUGGUGUUUUUAU